CGGAGCAAGUGUGCUCCUGACAGAAGAUUUCUGCUUAUUAAUUUCCUCGAGUAUGGACAAUCGAGCAGCCUCACAAGCUUUUGCAUUUGGAAAACCAAGGGUCCAUCUUCCCUCUGCUGCAUGAUUCAACCCUUUUGCAUUAUAGCCUUUGGUUUUACUUGCAUUUAAUCUUGGGUCAAACUCUCUUAUCCUGAGAUGCAACCAUGUGGGAUGAUCCUCAUCUAUCUUGGGCUGUUUCAAGUGGAAAUGAAAAUGCAUUAAGUAAAAUCCUUGUGAUAUUUAAGCACAAAAAAGCAACCAGAUAUACUUGUCUCAAGCCUACCCACUUUGUAAAUAAAGAUACCCAUUAUGAGAACAUGAAAUUGUUCUAAACAAAUGGACACUGCUAAGCACAACAGGAAAUUUAAUAAUGAGAAUAUAAACUUGGCAGUACAGAGAACCAUCACCAAGGACCUGGAGGUAACUAAGUCUGUGAAAAUUUAUCAGGAAAGGACAAUCUAUGACGGAAUUCAACAUCAUCUUUGUACAGUGCACUUCCCCCCUAAGCACCAGCACCCUCCUAUCUCUUCUUAUUUUGCCACAAAUCAAUAUAUAUUUCCUGCUUUCAGCUGUCUCAGUGUAGUCAUUCCCGCAGCAAUUAUAUUUAUAACCACAAAUUAUUGUUGUCCUUGCAGCAGUACAACUAAAAUUUUCCUUUUAAAUAGCAGGAGUGACAACUUCCAUGAACAUCAAUGAAUAAUGCCUAUAAAGCACAACAAAAGAUACUGGCUACAAGCAUUCCAAUUUUUAAAAGAAAUGGACAAGUUUUCCAUCUUGAAAUCUGAAAGGACAGAUAUCAGCAACAUCAAUGCUCAAAUUAACAAAUUCACAAUUUUUCUGCACAGAAGUCAACUAUUUGAUCUUCAGUUGUCUAUAGGACCAAAAUUUAAGAACAAUGUUAUUUGCAAACCACAACUUGAUAUUGGCACUUCAAAUAACAGUGAAUUUUCACUGUUGGGUGGAGUGCCAAUAACAAUGGAACUAUAUUAACAUCCUCCAUUGUGAAAUUAUAUAGGCUUCAUUUAGAAUAAAUCAUUUGCAAGAAAAUGAUUCAAUUGAAUUCUCACAUAAUC
rnacentral:misc_RNA from 1 species